rnacentral:rRNA from 1 species
UACAUAAGGAGCAAGCGUUGUCCGGAAUCAUUGGGCGUAAAGAGCUCGUAGGCGGUAUCGAAAGUCAGCUGUGAAAUCACCAGGCUCAACCUGGUAGGGUCAGCUGAAACUUCGGUACUUGAGGGUAGAAGAGGAAAGCGGAAUUCCCGGUGUAGCGGUGAAAUGCGUAGAGAUAUGGAGGAACACCAGUGGCGAAGGCGGCUUCCUGGUCUGUAACUGACACUGAGGCGCGAAAGCGUGGGGAGCAAACAGGAUUAGAUACCCCGGUAGU